rnacentral:rRNA from 1 species
UUGUAAAGCUCUUUCGCAAGGAAAGAAAACUUACCUAUUAAUACUAGGUGAGGUUGACGGUACCUUGAUAAGAAGCACCGGCUAACUACGUGCCAGCAGCCGCGGUAAUACGUAGGGUGCGAGCGUUAAUCGGAAUUACUGGGCGUAAAGCGUGCGCAGGCGGUUUUGUAAGUCAGAUGUGAAAUCCCCGGGCUCAACCUGGGAACUGCGUUUGAAACUACAAGGCUAGAGUGUAGAAGAGGGGGGUAGAAUUCCACGUGUAGCAGUGAAAUGCGUAGAGAUGUGGAGGAAUACCGAUGGCGAAGGCAGCCCCCUGGGCUAACACUGACGCUCAUGCAC